AAGGCAUUUGUUUACAGUAAAUAAAGGUGACUACUUUGGGCUGGCAGACAGAUCACAGUAUACAGAUUUUCCUCUCCUCUCUGAUCACAUGAUCAGGGUGCCGGCAUCACGUUGUCAGCACGGGGAGGAGCCACACACAGCACAUAACCUCACCACCCAUUUUGUGCAAGUACCUGGCUCCUUUUGUACCCCCUCACCUCCCUGCCAUCCGAAGUGUGAGCCGCAUAUGGUGCAGCGAAAUUGCCGUCUACAAGAGCAUGCCUCUGCCUGUCCAGACUUCAUCAGAAGGAUUAAAGAAUGGGAUGGGGUAGGGGGGGGAAUCAAAAUAAAAUGAUGAUAGCGAGGCC